rnacentral:rRNA from 1 species
GACAGAGGGUGCAAACGUUGUUCGGAUUUACUGGGCGUAAAGCGCGUGUAGGCGGCCUUGCAAGUUGGAUGUGAAAGCCCACGGCUCAACCGUGGAAGCGCAUCCAAAACUGCAUCGCUCGAGUCUCGGAGAGGAAGGUGGAAUGCUUGGUGUAGAGGUGAAAUUCGUAGAUAUCAAGCAGAACACCUGCGGCGAAGGCGGGUUGCUGGGCUGACACUGACGCUGAGGCGCGAAAGCUAGGGGAGCGAACGGG